AAAUUAUUUUUUUUUAAUUUAUUUAUUUUUAUUUUUUAGUCAUUGACAUAUUGACAGAGAUCACACAUUACAAGAAUUGUGCCUGUCACGGAAUGGAAAGGGUUAACUCUACCCACAUCCUGCUGUAGGUAGUGAAAUAUCUAGGGAUCAAUAAACCAUGUAAUCCUUAUGUCUUUCUUUCUUUCUUUCUUUCUUUAUUAAUUAAUUGAUUGUCAUAUUUUGGAAAGGCACACACCUAUGCACAGAACUUGCUAAAAGUUGUCACUUAACUGUGGAGAUCAGGAGUCCCAUAAAAAGCUGGGUGAAGAGUCUCGCAUUAACCAGAUGCUAGUAUCUUUUGUAAAUAGCCUCAUAAAAAGAAGAGCCGUAGAUUGUUAUUUUGUUAAUAUUUUAUCAUGUGUAAAUAUUUUAUAACGUUUUAAGGGAAACUAUUGAUACUAAAUUAUUAAGUUUGACAGAGGGACCUCUGAAUUAUGCAUACUAUUAAACACGUUUAUUACCUAUACAUUUGAGAAUAUGACUUUUGGUUUUGAAAUUCACUUUUCCUAUGGGUGUUUAUGCUUUUUAGCUUGAAAUAAACAUAAAUAAACCCAGCUGUGUGUUAUUUUGCUUUACUCAAAAAUCAUGUUUGUAUGUGUUUUUUUUUUUUUAUUAAUACAACAAUAAAAUUAAUUGAACAGUUG